AAUCAACGCUGGCGGCGUGCCUAACACAUGCAAGUCGAACGAGAAAGCGGGGGCAACUCCGCGAGUAAAGUGGCGACCGGGUGAGUAACACGUGACUAACCUGCCCUCGAGUGGGGAAUAACCCCGGGAAACCGGGGCUAAUACCGCAUAACAUCCUCGAUACGGAAGUGUUGAGGAUCAAAGGAGCAAUUCGCUUGAGGAGGGGGUCGCGGCCGAUUAGCUAGUUGGUGGGGUAACGGCCCACCAAGGCUCAGAUCGGUAGCCGGCCUGAGAGGGCGCACGGCCACACUGGAACUGAAACACGGUCCAGACUCCUACGGGAGGCAGCAGUGGGGAAUUUUGCGCAAUGGGGGAAACCCUGACGCAGCAACGCCGCGUGGAGGAUGAAGUCCCUUGGGACGUAAACUCCUUUCGACCCGGAAGAUUAUGACGGUAACCACAGAAGAAGCCCCGGCUAACUUCGUGCCAGCAGCCGCGGUAACAC
rnacentral:rRNA from 1 species